GAAAUUUUGAGGAUAAAUACGAAGAUCGGAAAAAAUGGAAUAUCUCCAUUUUAUGCUAUGACGGCUUAAGGGCAGAAGAGUAAAAGCGUAAACCGACCUUGGAGCUAGUAUAUAAGGAAUCCUAGGCGAGAGGCAUGGGAAGAACUUUUUAGACUCGGAAUUCUCUGCACUUAGAAACUUUAGGCUUUAUUCUCGACAAGUUCGGUUUCUAUGACUGGCACUGAAUUACUAGACGAACACGCCCAAGCAGUUCGAUCUCUUGGCCAGCUCUAUCAAUUGAACUACGUUCGGCUUGAUCCUCGAAAGGGGUACGUAGGCAGCCUUUAACAAGGUUCAGUCCGAAAUCAAUCAAAAACCUUUUAUGUAUCUUUUCGUCUUUUGUUAUCGAGCUGCGACUCAACUAGGUUUGAGCUUUUAGGCCGCUAGAACUAAGUAACUCGCUGACAGCCUUUGCGGCCAAAGCUCUCAUGAUCUCUUGUAAUGAUCGCAACGCUCUUACGCGGACUCGAAAUAAGAUCUACUAUUUUCUCUAAACUCGUUUGUUAUCUUUUCAUGAUUUCCGCAUAUAUUCGGUAACUUGUCGUUGGCUCUCGCAGAGAUCCGGGACCUCCGGGAAAUUAGAGUUUUCCUAGUUUCCUUAUUCAAACGGAAAUCGACAAUGCGAAUUUUGCUUCCACAUUUAACUUGUUCACUAACCUUCUCAGACCAACUGUCGUUACGCCUGAGUUAGUUAGAUCACGCAAAUGGGUUCAGGUAUUGAGGGGAAACGGUUAGUUUGCUCAAUGAAUCCUAAGAUCUAAAAUGAAGGUGAUCAAUCUUAAUUUUAGCAUUAAUUUCAUAAGCAAUGAAAGAACAAUCAAAACACCUUUUUAAUAGUCAUAUUAGCAGUAUACUAUUUCAACCAUGGUGAGAAACCUAAAUCUAACAAUUGGUUUACUCAAACAUAUUCAUGAGAGACAAAGUCAUGAUAGUGUGAAAUAAACUCAAAUGAAACAUAGAACACAAAUAGAUAGAGUAAUAGAAAUAAAGGAGUUCAAGAUCUUCUCUGUUUUGCAGUCUCAAAUCUAUCUCUCCAUUCCUAAGCUCUCCUAAUGGUAGCCAAAAUGCUCAUUCUCCAAAACUAGGUCUUUUGCAAGUGUCUCCCUAGAAAUGAUCCAAAACCCUAGUACAUAUAACCUAACAGGCGGCUAGAGACUUAAGUUGUAAAUAAUAGAUCUUAUGGGAAAUGAAAUCUUUUAAUUUGCGAUUUCAUCUGUGUGACUGGGUAUCGAUCGAUGCACAUAUAUGUAUGUCGAUCGAUAGUAAGUGAUUAUGAUCGACCGAUAUUGCUCUUCAAGAGUCGAUCGAUUUUCCUUGCGUAAAAGCAUUCCAAAAUGUCCAAAAAGUAUCAUUUCCUUCCAUCAGGUGAAUAAACAUGUAUUUGCUUUGAAAAGACUCUAAACCAUGAUUAAUACAUCUUAAACCCUUAUAUACCAUGUAUAAAAACGGGUGAAAAUCAUGGUAUAUCAGAAACCCCGAAUGGUUUAGAUAUUGAAGAUCCAGAUCCAUAUUUCGUAGAGUUCCUAUUCAAAUUUAGCGAGGAAGAUCUUCGUUCUACUAAUUCGACUCCCUUGUCAAUAGCAGGAUUGGAGGAAGUAGAUAAAACCCCAUACUUUUUUCUCUUACUACUCCUUAACUGCAUAAAUGAUCCCUCACUCCUAUUAGCUUUAAUAGCUGAAGUCAUAAGUUUCUCUUUGCCCUUUCUUUCCAUUACCCCUGAUUCAAAUGCAGCGUUGAGGUCAAAAUCAUACACUGUUCUUUUCCCUUUAUCUAAUUGACUGGUAAAUAAAGGAGGAGACUCCAGUCGCAUCAUCGUAUUCCCUGUGAUUGGAUCCUUCUCUGCUUCAGCUACAAACGACCUUAUCCGAUCAAUACGAACUAACAGGUCCCCUUCAUUUGCCAUCAAAAGAUACCUUCUCAGCUCCUCUAGUACUUCAAGGGAAAUUUUUCUUCUACAUGUGACACUAUAUACACCAACCUGCUCUUCAUUUAGAACUCCAAAAAGAGGAUCUUAUUUAUCAAUAAACUUGUCAGCAGGUACACUCUGUUUCAUCAACCCAUGUCUUCUUUCAGAAGCCAACUCUCUUCUUUUUCUAACCAGCAAAGGAAAAACUUCUUUAGCGUGAUUAAACCUCUGAUAGUAAUAACAUCGUUUCUGGAUCCUCUCGUAGCUGAAAUAUAUAGUUGAAGAACCCCUUUCUGGCAGAUUAACCACUCUUGACUUCUUAAGAGGUCUCGAAACAUUAAACCUAAUAAGAACCCUAACAUAAUCUUGGCUUGGCGGCUUAUCAAGAUCAAACGCCACAACUUUCACUUCACCUAAGAGUUCUCCAAAAGCCGUGAUCGCUUCUUUUGUACAGUAAUUAACAUGGAUAUUUCGGAUUUGGACACAUAUCAGAAUAAACUGAAGGAAAUCCGGAGGAGUGAUUUCAACCCAUUGAUCGAUAGCUAAGGCCCAAUCGUUAUAGGUGUGCACCCCUUUCUCUAAGAUUUCGAGCAAAUCAUGCUCAUGAUCAAAAAUAAACUGAAAGUGCUCCUUUGACAAGGCCACUCCUCUAACUUUCCCAAGCUUCUGCCACUUCCUAGGCAUAUCAAGGAUAAGACUAGACAUCUCCUGACAAUCUGGAUUUAAAAUCCUUCCAAUUAAACUCUUCGAGAUCCUCUCGAAAGACUUAAACUGAGGCAGCAGGUCCAUCAUAUCAAACGGCUCAUCCUUUUCCUGUAAAGACAGCUACAUCAUCGCUUUAUCCAUAGCAUACGACAUCUUGAAAACCGGAUGAAGAUCUGAUAAUCAGAAAGAACACCACAGUCAACAAGAUGAUAAAACCCUAAAAAGAUAGAAGAUUGAUCGGAAUAUUUAACUUCUUGUGAAAGGAUAAUAUAGAAAUAAGAUACCGAGUAAUCCAAAGCUCCACUCCCCAAAGAGAUAUGCUUUACGAAAGAGAGAGAGAGAGAGAAACAAAGGCCAAACAAGGGAAACUUUUAAUUUUUUUUUUGAGAAACUCCUUCUCUAACUAUCUUAUUAAACAUAUAAUGCUCGAUAGUUUUUUUUGGGUAACAUAUAGCUGUAUGUUAGAUAUUUCUGUUUAGCAUAUAUAUAUAUUAGUCUUUUUCAAUAUUUUUUUAGUAUGUAACUGAAUUUAAACAGAACCGACAACAACUGGAUUUAUUAAUAAUACUUAUAAACCAUACACUAAAUAUGGAAAAAAAAUGAAUAUUUAUUUAGCCAAACACACACAGUUUAUUUAUAGAAAAUCCAAUAUUAUUUCAUAUGGUCAUAUAGCUGAUCCAACACACACCCAAUAAAAAUAUAAUAUGAUCCACAAAUACAAUAUAGGUUUGUUGGUAAUAAAUUAAAAUAAUGCAAUUGCAACCAUUAAAUUGUUUUGUUUCUAAAGGUUUAUAUUAUAUAUACUAGUGAGAAAACAUCUGUGGGGGUCAAGUUCUAGUGCUACAUAAAAAUUAUAGAUUUCAUAUAUAUAUAUAUAUAUAUAUGAUAAGUUAACAUAAGAGAAUACAUCUGUUAAUCAUGAAUCAUAGACAAAUGUCAACAUCAAAUAUAAGGGUAUAUGCCUGCACAUGCUUACGGACCGUCCACUUAUUGAUGAUACUUUUAACAAACAAUAGUUCUUCAAUAUUAGUAAAAAACUAUUUUUUUUUAAACGGAGUAAAUUAAUAAUUGAUAUUUGAUUAAUUUUGAACUCCCAUAAAUGUCUGAUAUGGAAUUUGUAUAAGUGAAAAUUCUUCCUAAAUAGAUUUAUAAUAAAAAAUACAUUAAGAAAAAUAAAAACCAAACUAAAUAUGAAAACUUCUAGUAGUUUUCACCAAAAUAGAAAAGGAAAACAUGGAAAAAGAAUGAAAAAAUCAGUUUCGUGGAUCACACCUCUCAAGCGACACUUUAGGCGAAAAAAUUACCGUCAAAACUCUUCUUCACCAUUCCAUCUCCGGCGGGUUUGGCCGUCGGGUUUUCUUGUUUUUUUUCAUUUUUGUUACUAUUUCUUUAGUUACCUAACGAAUUCAUGUUGAAUUGGACAUCAAAUUUUUUUAUUUGGGGAAAACCAAAUCGUGUUUUGUUGCCGCCUCGCCAACUACCGUCAUCCUGGAUUCUUCACAAGCGCAUAUCUAUUGUGGCAUUGGUCGGAUAUAUAUCAUCCUUAAUUCGGACAAUCCUGAAGAAUUGGAUGAGAAGAGUAGUGGCCAUCCUUCGAGUGUUUGGCUUGUGUCUCUUCUCUAAGGAGUGUACUUCUCCUGUGUGGGAAUUUCUGGUUCAGAAUUACAGUAUUGACGGCCUUUCUUUGCACAUGAUGCAAGUUUGUAUAAUCUUUCAAGGAUCUCGAUUUGAGCAAACACAAAAUCAUCAAAAACCGCCAUGGCCAGGGGAUUUCAAUAGAUUGAUGCUAUUUCUACACUCGGGUUUGACGUGAAAGAGAUGAUUGGAUGGAAGAAAAUAGAAUUCAAAACAAGAAGUCUGCAGUUGCUUUUGCAACAAAACAAGAAGAAGAUAUGGCUUUAUAGGUUUUAGAACAAAAUAAUCUCAAUGUCAUGAUAGUUUCAACAAAACAUGUUACCUCCUGCAGUGGGAGUGUAUGGGACGGAUUGCGAUGUAACAGGUGGAUCGCAUCCAAUGAUCUUCUUAAAAAAAGACAGCUACUCACAAGAAUUGAGAGUAAUAAGAAAGAUCCCACAAGACCAAGAACAAAGUGGAAGAAAACUAGUGAGUCAGCCUGUCCUACGAAUGUGUUAGGAAGCAUCUUGUUACUGUUUUCUCUAUUAAAAGUUCUCCUUAACAACAUGUUCGUUGUAAUUUAUAAUCCAUGUAACCAGUUAGAUUGACAUGAAAGCAAUAAAGUUAAGAUGUUAUAAAAAAAGGAAAACAUGUAAUCAUUGGAUGUUUUCUAUGUCCUUGGAAGAUGCAGAAGAUAUCAAUCAUCAUUCACAGAAAACAGGGUAAAUGGAAGCGAAUUGGUUCGGCAAGAACCCAUCCUUAAGAGCACAAACAGAUCCACCUUCUACACUCUGUUGAUCCUCUUGGGGCUUUCGUUAUGUUCUUGUAAAAAAUAGAGGGUAGAGAAAGUGACUUUACCAUCAUUAACACAGAGCGAGGAAGAAGAGUGGAGGGAUAGAAGAGUAAUUUGGCCAUGGUAGAAGAAGAGAGAAUGGGUUAAGCGACGAAGAAGAGAAUUGAGGGAUUAGGGUUAGUCAGGGGAAAUAGUAUUUCGUUUUUUUUUGUGUUAAAAAUAUACAAAUUAAUAUUUAAUUUUUAGCUUAACCAAUUAUUAAGUUUUUAUAGGGGUAAUUUGGUAUUAAUAUUAUUCUAAAUCCUAAUUUCCCAAAGUCUAAUGGUUAAGUUCUAAUGAGACAAACUCAAGUUGAAUGUGUCAUUUUUAUCCAAUUUUCUCUUAUAAUAAUCCUACUAGAUGAUAACCCGCGCGCAUGUGUGGGGUGAGUGUCUUAUACUAAUGUUUGUUCAUAAACUGGUUUUAACAUUUUGCAAUACCACAAUCUUUAUCGAUUGUAAAAUGACGAAUUCAAAUGUUGGUCUCUUUAUAAUCGUUAUUGAAGUGUUAAUGUAUUACAGCUCACUUUUAGGACUUCAUAGGCAGAAAAGAAACGAAAAUUAAAUUUUGCGGCUGACACAAAUCACAAAAACUAGAUAGACAACAUUGAUUGUAAAAUGACGAAAGAGGAUUAGGUUUUUAGUUUUCGAUUUGUUUACUGUUGACUCUCCAUAAGUGAUAUCAUUUUCUACCUCUAUAAAAUUGUGCUUUCGUUCUUGUUUAGUUUUACUGAUAUGAUUUUUUUUUCUUUUUUAACUUCUUGUGAAUUACAUAAGGGUCAAUUUAAAAAGAUGGACAUAUAUAAAAAUUAGUCUCACUCUAGAUACAUAUCUAAGAAUCAAAAUUUUGAAAACAAAAUCAACAGCAAACUCUAUUCAGAGGUUAGUGUUCAGAUCUAAUAUACCAAGCGGUUAUAGAAUAUAAGUGCAUACUCAAAAUAUAAAUGUAUGUCUAGUAUACAUUCACUAGUUCGGCCUAAAAAUCAUCUAAUAUUAAAACAACAAAACAAAUUACUUAUUUUAUUAACAUAUGCUUUUGAUCUUUAGUUACUUAAUACUAUAAUAAAAAGUAUAUAAUACUUUAUCAUUCUAGUAUAUGUAAACUAUGUAAAAACUAUUAAUUGUUUGAUUUAUUAAAUGAUAAACUAGAAAAUUUAUAAUAAAUAGUUCAAAUUUCUCAUUCUUGCAAUUAUAAUAGCUAGAUAUGGUAUUAGGGAGAAACAUAUAUUAGACGAAUGAUCAAAUCUUUCAUUCUUCGAACAAACUCAAAAGGAGGUGAUUGAAAUUUUGUCAUGAUAUUUCAUUAAUAUCUUUUUAGGAAUAAAAAUCAAGACUAAAAUAUUUAAUUUAUCUGAAAUAAUAUAUAUAGUGAUUCCAAUAUUAAAAAUCACUUCGAUUUGAAGAAGUGUAUGUAUGGGAUUAUCAAGAUCAAAUAACAUAUUAGAAAACAUCUAUUUAAAAAAUAAUUUGUAUAGAUAAAGUUAUAUACAUUAGAGUAAGCACAUGAAUCAAAACCAAUACCUUUUGUUUAUUUACAAUCAUGCUUUGGUAAAUAAAUCAAUACAAUUAUUUUAUUUACUUUAUAUAAUAUAUAAUUAAACUUUAGUGCUAUUGACUUAUAUAUAGUAUAUUUUAAUAUAAAUAUUAUUUUUUUGACAACGAGCUACCAUUUUAUUACUCAAACUUGAGGUAGUUUGGGUAGCCAGACCAGAAUAGAACAACCAAUGAAAUAUACUCCCUAUUGUAGGAUCUAGUAGUCUUAGCUAAGAAAAUCAGAAAUAUGGUUUUGAACACGUGGAACAUAAGUAAUCUUGAAGUCCGGGAAGCAUAUAUGCAGUCUUUAUCCUCUCCAAUUCUGUUGUAAAGCUUGGCCAGGCAAGAGGCUCCUUGAUCAUGGCGAUCAGCUCAUUGCAGUCUGUCCCAAAGCUCUGGCAUGUCGAAUACUGAAGCACAUUCUCCAUCGCCCAUCGCAGUGCUUCUACUUCCGAAUGCAAAGCUGAUUCGUGUCGAAUGAUAUUUCGUGUCCUCAUAAGUUGGAUCUUCCCAGGGCUGUCCAUCCAAGCUCAUCCACAUCCACUAAACUGUGAUGUGGAUGUCAAUGACCCAUCAAGCAUGCAAAUAUUACCCAAGCUUAUGACUUGGGACUCCUCAAUUAUGUGAUCUUGUAUCAUUGAUGGCACCGUCUCGUUUGCGUUGAACCAUGCUUGACAUUAACUCUCUGUAUAGCGAACUAACUUUAAUGGAUCUCUGUCUAUACCCCUGAAGAGUUUGUCAUUUCGGGCCUUCCAAAUAUACCAUAUUAUCCAGGGAUAAGGAUCCAUGUCUAGUUCUGGUUCGACAGUGUUGUUCUUCCUCCAGAAAAGAAAUCCAUAUUAGUGUAGAUACUUGGUAGCGGGAAAAUAUCUUGACUUGUUGGAGUCACUGAAAGGGACCAAACUUGUAUUGAUGGAGGGCAUUCAAAUAUGGCAUGAGUUACAGAUUCUUCUUGUUCUCCACAUCCUGGACAAUAGUCAUCGCACCUCAUAUUAGGCCGUAUUAGGUUCCUUGUUACUGCCACAUGACAAGUUAUCAUUUUUCAUAUAAGAUGGCAUAUUUUUUUAGGCGCUUUAAUUUUCCAAGCAAAGGGUUGAAGCUUAGGAAUACUUGGCUCCAGCACUUCCUUUUCUUACUCUGCCUUUAAUAGGUUAUAAGAUACCCAAUAUCCUGACUUAACUGUCUACUGGUCAUUCCUAGUGUAGUUCCAGCAAAAUGUAUCCCGACGAUGAGUUGAGCUUAUGGCCAAACUCCUUAUGAGGGGGAUAUCCUCAGAGCAAACAUAAUUCUCCAGUAAGCCAAUAUCCCACUCGUUUGAUACCUGAUUAAUAAAGUCAUUGACUCAUGUUUGGAUGCAAAACCGGGGCUAAAGGAGUAGCCGGUCUUGUCGGUGUUGUAGGGACCCACGGGUCCUCCCACACCUUGACUUCGUAACCAGAAUGUAUUUUCUGUCUGAUUCCCAAUAGCAAUACCGUUCGUGCUGCAGAUAUGCUAGUCCACACAUAGGAUGAGCUACUAGCAGAAUUCACUUGUAAAGGCGAGCUCAGCUAUAAUAUCUUGCCUUCAAAACUUGGGCCACCAACGAAUCUGGGUGUUGCAAAAGUCGCCAUAGUUGUUUUUCUAAUAAUGCCAGGUUGAACUCAUGUAUCAUACAGAAACCAAUCCCACACUCCUCUCUUGGUAAUAUUUAUUAGUGAUAUUUUUUACUCAUAUGAUUUUAUUAACAUUUGUAUAUUUGAUGUAACAAAAAAAAUUAAACCGUUAAUCACAAAAUUUUUAAUGUGAAAUUUAUCAAUAAAAAUCUUGAAAUUAAAAUAUUAAGUUAUUCUCAAUAAUUUUUCAAUGCAAAAUUUUAAAUUAACAUAUAUAUAAAAAUAUAUAUAUUUAUAUAUAGUAUAUAAUUUAAUUUAAGAAUUGAGAAUAUUCUUUUGUGGGCUACUAAUUAAUUUGAUAGUUAGUUUAAUAAAAUAUAAAAUAUAUAUUUAUAUAAGCCAAUUUAUUUUUCUAAUUUACAUUUUAGUAAUGAUUUCAUAAUUCUCACCAAGAUUAAUAUAUAGAGAAUUAGUCAUCACAAUACUCUUCAAUUAUUUAUUAAAAAUCCUACUAUAUAUUAAUUGAGAAGUCACUUUAGUGAUUUUUUCUUACGUGUCAAUCAUAAGUGAGCUCUUACAAAAUUGUUAUAAUUUGAUUGGGCGAUGAUUUUUAAUUUUUGUUUAUUUAUUUAGAUCUAAAAAGAAAGGUAAUUUUAUAACCAAUUAAUAUCACUUGCCAAAUAAUUUACAUAAUAUUAUAAAUAAUAAUUUUUGGUAAAUAAUUGUUUAAAUUAUAGAAAGAUAAAUAAAUUCAUCAUUUUUAUAUUUAUAAAUACAUAAAAUAAAAAACGACAAACAGUUUUUAUAAAUCAAUAUAAAUCAUUUAUCAAAUUUAUAAAAUGUAUGUAUAUUUUAAAUUAUUAUAAGAGUUUGUAUGUCAUCUAUGAGAGUUAAUAAAUUAGUUUAUAAAAUUCAAUUUAAAAUCUCAUCCUACUAUCCUACUAUAUAUUAAUUGAGUAGCUUUAUAAAUAAUUUAUAAAAUUCAUACAAGCUUUAUACAUCAUUUAUAAAAAUUAUAAAUACAUUUAUAAAAUUGUUUAUCUUAGCUUAUCAUAUGUUUUAAAUUAUGAUAAGAGGUUUUAAGUCAUUUAUACAAGCUUAUAAAUUAAUUUAUAAAAUCUAUUUUGAAAUUUCAUUUUAUAUUAAAUUAGAAAUCACUUAAUUAAUUUUUUGUUAGGUGUCGAUCAUAUAGAGAGUUUGAGAAAUAAUAUUAUAAUUUGAUUUGUUAAUGAUUUUCAAUUAAUUUUAUUUUAUGAGUAAAAAAAUCAGUUCUAGAACGAGUUUAUCAUUAUCCAAACAAUCUAAAUAUAUUGCAAAAUAAUUUAUGGUAAUUAAAUAUUUGAUUUAUAUAAUAUAUAUAAUGCUUCAUAAAACAAUUUCUCGGAAUCAAGUAUUUCUAUUAUAUAUAAUGCUUCAUAAAACAAUUUUUAGUCAAAUCCGUACUUGUCAAGUAUUUGUAAACUAUAUAAAAUAUUUCGAAAUUUUCAGUAUUAUAUACCUUCAAAACUUAAGCAAUUUUAUUUAAAACUGCAUCAUGAAUAUUAUACAUAACUAAUUUUAGUAAAAUUAUCAAUACAAAAUAUCAAAAAGUAUUUAAAAUAGUCAUAUUUAUCAAUUUUAAAAAAAUAAUCAUUCUUAGAAAAAUAUUU